rnacentral:tRNA from 1 species
GGGGGUAGAUGGGGCCCGGUGGCUCUCCCGGCCUUCAAAGCCGCGUGUGAGGCGAUUGCGUCUCAGGUGGGUUCGACUCCCACGUACUCCCG